UUUAAGGUAAUAGUAUAACAAGUAAUAGUAUUAAUUAUAUCUAUUAAAAUAAAAAUUCACACAAAAAAUUGCUCACAUGUACAUACUCAAGGAGCUGCAGUUUGCCGGCCCCUGGACUAGACCCGUUCUUGGAGUUUCGCGUUUGAUCUGCUCUUACCCUAAUGUUCUGGGUUCCCUCACUCACGCAGGCCUCCCUGUGCGUUGUCAGCCAUGGUUACAGGGACACCCGAGACCCAGGCUUCUGCUCAACCAAACCUGGCUUUUCAGGGUUUCUGGUUUAUGAGUCAGAGGGUGACUCAGCAUAGUGAGGCGCAGGCUUCAGUACCAGCAGCGACAUCAAAAAAGGAAAAAAAAAACUUUUUAUAGAAUUGAACGUCCUAAAAAGGUACCAAUAUAGUUAUAAUGGGAAGAAUUAAGUUGAUCCUAUUUUAUAAUUUAGUAUUGCUUCUGUUCGCUAAUGAAGGGGCAGUUUCGAUCAACCAUAAUCUUUGAUGUUUCAACACACAAAAUCUCUUAACCCAGCCCUGCUUUCCACAGACACAGUGUCUCCCUAUUGUCUUGGGGCUGAUCAUGGAUACCAAGAUGAGUGUGUAAAUACAUCCGUGUAUAUAUCAUAAAAUGCACAUGUGGAACUGGCCAACCAAACCAUGGGUCCUCUUGGUAAAGACGAAAACUGUCCCACAGCUAAAGAAACCUGUGGUGGAGGGGAGAGAAAGUUAAUCAGAGCUAACGUGGGCAUUGGGGGAUGUGGGCAUCCGUCGCCUGUGUGUUGAAGAAAGUUUGUGAAGCAGCUAAAAAGUGUAAGUUCCUCUUUGCUAGGUUGAAUUGUAUAGGUGUAUAUAAUUUUUUAAAGCUCAGUUAUAAUCCUUUAUGUCUGUUUAAUGCUUGACAGUUUGAAAGGGCCUUCAACUAUGAGCUUGUAUUCAAUUCUUAGACCCACCCUGACGUUAGGGUUUAUUCUUCUCAUUUGACAAAUGAGGAAACUGGGGUUGCAGCUAACUUCAAAGAGGGGAGAAGGGUGGGGGUUACUGCUUUAAAGCUUGGGUCAUUUGGAGGAGCUACCCAAGGCCCCCUGACUGGCCUAAACAAGACACGUGGUUAUUUCUGCCCUUCUGCACCUCCCCCUGCCAGGGCUGGGCGGAGCUGUGGACCUGCCUUGCUGUCAGCUCCAUUGGGGCUCACAGUCCUUGGGCUCCCCUUCUUCUCAGUAACGCACUUGCAUCUAAACUCACCUCCCUGACUUUCUUCUCUCCAUCAACCCUGAGAAAUCUGUUCUUAGGGCAGGGAAAACAGGCUUUUUCUGUUCACAUGAUCUUCUAGGGUUUUUCUCUACUGCCAGACCUCAGCUUUUGAAACCCAAAAGCACAAUCAAGUUCUUCUUUUUCUGGAUUUCGCUAAGUCAUCACUUCUUCUUUUCUGAGGCUCUGAAAGUAGAAUGUCUGAACCCAGGGCGUGGGGACAGCGUGGGUCACUCUGUUAAGAAAGCUUCCUUCCUGUCAAAUGUCUUUACCUAGUGGAAAAGGAGCUGGCACCUCCACCCAACACACAAACUGAGUCCCCAUGAGCAUUUUAGAGUUUGCCCAGACAACCAGCCUUCCAUGAGGUUCUCAGAGGACAAGUAGCGGGAAGUCCUCGCUUACUUGGAGACACUGAGCAGAAGCAUCAUGAAUGGAGAGAACAGAGUCAUCACCGUGGACAGCCCAAGGUGACACAGACAAUCAGAAUGGACCAUCCGGGCACAUUCAUAAGCUUUCCAUUGUGGAUGCUGAAGCUAUUCCCUAUUGUAGACCCAAUGCCUGGCGUCUAAAACAUCCUCCAGUCUGACUCCCCAUUCUCCCCCCAUUACUGCUGUCACUCUCCCCUGCCUCUAAAGUCAAAUUUCGUGAUCAGUUGUCCACACUUACAGUUCCAUUUCUUCUCUUAAACCCAUUCCCAAAUGGUUUUAAUCAAGGUCAUCAAUGACCUUGUGCAUAAAUUAUAAAUCCAAUGGAUAUUUUUCAAUCUUUAUCUCGCCAAGCUUCUUAGCAGAAUUCAACAUAACUGGCUACUCCUUCCUUCUUGAAAUACUCUUCUUGGUCUGUAUGGCACCACACAUGUUUUCCACCCAUGUCGCCGGUCAAUCCUCCGUCUCCUUCACUGGCUUCUCUGUCAGUGUCCUCCCUUUCAGAUUAUGUUCCUCAAGGACUCUGUCUUGGCCCCUCUGCUCCAUCUGAGCACUCUUCCUGGAUGAGUUCAUCCAUUCCCAUGGCCGCUGUCUCCAACGCCCUCUAAAUCUGUACCGUUUGCUCAGAGUGUUCUCUUGACCUCCAGACUUCUGUGUGCACCAUGGGGUUGAGCCCAUGUCCCACAGGCAUCUCAAAGUCAAGUUGAAUCAAACUGAAAUCAUCUUUCUUACAAAUGGCUUCAUCCUGUGUUCCCUCCUACGGACAAGAAGAGGCACCACCAGCCAUCCAGUGGCCCAAACCCAAAACCUGGUCAUCACUUUUCAUAUGUUCCUCUUCUUCACAUCUUCAUUAGUGAGUUCUGUCAGAUCCACCUCCAAAAUCUCUCUCUGCCCCACCCCUUCUGUCCCACACACUGUCACAACCAUGGUGCACGCUGCUCUCCUGUCUCCUAGACAACUGCUGUAGGCUUUGAACAAAACCUGUUCCUGCUAAAUUGGGAUGUGCCACCCUCCAGCUUAAAACCUUCCGAUGGUUUCCCAUUGCACUCGCAAUCAAGUUCAAAGCCUUACUUUGUCAUGUAUAGCCCUCCUUGCCUAACACUUCGGUGUCAUCGCUUGCUGUUCGUCCACUGCUGCUCUUUGUCCAGCUGCCCUGAAAUGCUUUCACGGCAUCUCAGACUCACCAGCUCUCAUUUGCAUCUAGGAUUUUCCACAUGCUGUUCCCUCUUCCUGGAACUCCGCUCUUCCCCCCCGCUUCACUUGGCUAAUUUCUAAAAGUCAAUUCCCAGCUAGAUGUCACUUCUUCCAGUGAUCCUGGGUCAGGUUAGCACAAGGCACAGCAUAACACUCCUCAGAGGUGUAAAUAAUGAAAGUACAGUGUCUAUAAACUCUUGAGUGUGAAGACAUGCCUACCUUGUUUGUUCCGUAGCCUCAGGACUUGUUUGGUUUCUGGCCCAUAGUAGGCCCUUCAUAAAUAGUUGCUGAAUGAGUAAGUAAAUGAGGGGUCCCUAAACCAAGACUGAAGACCAAGCAGGAGGUGGAUCAAUGAAGCUGGGACCUUGAGGUUGAUACCCCCACGUGGGGCAGGCCCCUGAUAAUCCAGCCCUCUGCGGGGACAUCUGACACCUUUUCUGCCAAUGGGUUUCCGGAGUCAGCGGGAGAUCUCCAAAGUAUGCAGAGCGGGCCAGAAAGGUACCCUCUCUCCCUCAGAUCACAAUUGAAAUCACCCCCACUUAUGUUUUGCCGUUGGGCAGUAAAGAUACCAGCUCCCUGUGGCCUCAGGCCUGGAAGCAUUAAAGACGCAGGUAGACUGUUGGAAACAUUUCACUGUAUCUCAGAUGCUGUCUCCUGCAAAUAGGGAGAUGUUUUGUUUUUGUUUUUUAGGUAGCAGGAUUGGUUGGUUUGUGUACUAGGCUGGGGAGUAAGAGGGCUUGUGCUGCACUUUCUGUCCCCCGCCCUCUUACCCAUCUAUCCCCCCUUCCCCGGUUCCAUUAAAAAAAAGACAAAAAUCAAGCUGCAGGAAGUAGAAGAGGGGAAGACGGACUAGGAGAGAAAGACAUAAAGAAGCUGAAAGGUUUAAGGAUGGAAAAGAGACCGCUAAAGGUGUGGCAGCGGUGGGAUUCGAACCCACGCCAUCGAAAUGACUGGAGCCUAAAUCCAGCGCCUUAGACCACUCGGCCACGCUACCUCCCGUGCGCGACGUUUGCCAUUGAGACUAUAUUAGUCUAAUGACGCAGCACCACACGCUCUGCGAGCCCCGCCUUCGUGGACGUGCGCAUGCCCCAUAUCGGCCGUGGCGUCCCCCGUGACUGUUACCGCGUGUUAGCGCCCGGCUUCUCUGUGGGUGUCGCAGUCGCAAUGCUUUCCUGACCCACAGCGGUCAUUACAGUCGGGAGGCAGCGUUAAAAAGGAAAGACUUCCUCAACGUUAAACAUUAGUGUUAAGUCCUCAGUCAAGGGUGAACAGCUUUGUGUGAUGGUUAAAGGUGACCGAGGACCAAGUACAAGCCAAAAACGAUCUGAUCGACGUCUCCUUGUGAGGCCACUAAAGCUACCGGAAAUGACGCCGGCUGCUGCUUCGGAGCUCAACUCCAAAGUCAUUCCUUCAGAGAAGCCUUCCUGACCAGCUUUCCCACGGUGAGAAUUUCAGGUGCAAUUUUGUCUUUUGCCAAAAGCCGGAUGAGUUUUCUCAAGGUGACUAAAGGAGGCAACACUUCAGACCAAAAUAAUACCUUCUGGAUCCUGUAGUUUCCAAAACCUGUAA